AAAUGCUGCCGAGCUGCGGCCGCGGGGCAGAUGCACGCGCUCGGGCCCUUCUAGCAGGAGCUUCGCAGCCUGCUAACCACGCAAUGUGGGGUGAUUUCUGAACACACCAAGAAGAUGUGCACAAGGUCCCUGCGCUGCCCACAGCACACAGAUGAGCAGAGGCGAACCGUACGGAUUUAUUUUCUCGGGCCCUCGGCUGUCCUUCCAGAGGUCGAGAGCUCCCUGGAUAAUGACAGCUUUGACAUGACUGACAGCCAGGCCCUGAUCAGCCGGCUUCAGUGGGACGGCUCCUCUGACCUCUCACCCUCUGAUUCAGGCUCCUCCAAGACGAGUGAAAAUCAGGGAUGGGGUCUAGGUACCAACAGCUCUGAGUCACGGAAAACCAAGAAAAAGAAAUCCCAUCUGAGCCUGGUAGGGACUGCCUCCGGCCUAGGUUCCAACAAGAAGAAGAAGCCAAAGCCACCGGCACCCCCGACGCCCAGCAUCUAUGACGACAUCAACUGACUUGGGUGCAAGGGAUAGCCUUU
rnacentral:sRNA from 1 species